AAUGAACGCUGGCGGUGCGCCUAACACAUGCAAGUCGAGCGAGAACGCUUCUUCGGAAGCUAGUAAAGCGGCGGACGGGUGAGUAACGCGUAAGAAUCUGCCCUUCAGUGAAGAAUACCCUUGAGAAAUUAAGGUUAAUGCUGCAUAUCUCCCUUCGGGGAAAAAGGUGGCCUCUUGCUGCCGCUGAGGGAUGAGCUUGCGUACUAUUAGUUUGUUGGUGGGGUAAUGGCCUACCAAGACGAUGAUGGUUAGCCGGCCUGAGAGGGUGAUCGGCCACACUGGAACUUAGACACGGUCCAG
rnacentral:rRNA from 1 species